UACGGGGGGAGCAAGCGUUGUUCGGAUUUACUGGGCGUAAAGGGCGCGUAGGCGGCACUGUUAGUCAGGCGUGAAAUUCCUGGGCUCAACCUGGGGACUGCGCUUGAUACGGCAGAGCUAGAGGAUGGAAGAGGCUCGCGGAAUUCCCAGUGUAGAGGUGAAAUUCGUAGAUAUUGGGAAGAACACCGGUGGCGAAGGCGGCGAGCUGGUCCAUUACUGACGCUGAGGCGCGACAGCGUGGGGAGCAAACAGG
rnacentral:rRNA from 1 species